rnacentral:rRNA from 1 species
UACGUAGGGUGCAAGCGUUGUCCGGAAUUAUUGGGCGUAAAGAGCUCGUAGGCGGUCUGUCACGUCAGCUGUGAAAACCCAAGGCUCAACCUCGGGCCUGCAGUCGAUACAGGCAGACUAGAGUUCGGUAGGGGAGACUGGAAUUCCUGGUGUAGCGGUGAAAUGCGCAGAUAUCAGGAGGAACACCGGUGGCGAAGGCGGGUCUCUGGGCAGUAACUGACGCUGAGGAGCGAAAGCGUGGGGAGCAAACAGG